rnacentral:rRNA from 1 species
AGAGUUUGAUCAUGGCUCAGGAUGAACGCUGGCGGCGUGCCUAACACAUGCAAGUCGAGCGAUUCUCUUCGGAGAAGAGCGGCGGACGGGUGAGUAACGCGUGGGUAACCUGCCCUGUACACACGGAUAACAUACCGAAAGGUAUGCUAAUACGAGAUAAUAUGCUUUUGUCGCAUGGUAGAAGUAUCAAAGCUUUUGCGGUACAGGAUGGACCCGCGUCUGAUUAGCUAGUUGGUAAGGUAACGGCUUACCAAGGCGACGAUCAGUAGCCGACCUGAGAGGGUGAUCGGCCACAUUGGAACUGAGACACGGUCCAAACUCCUACGGGAGGCAGCAGUGGGGAAUAUUGCACAAUGGGCGAAAGCCUGAUGCAGCAACGCCGCGUGAGCGAUGAAGGCCUUCGGGUCGUAAAGCUCUGUCCUCAAGGAAGAUAAUGACGGUACUUGAGGAGGAAGCCCCGGCUAACUACGAGCCAGCAGCCGCGGUAAUACGUAGGGGGCUAGCGUUAUCCGGAAUUACUGGGCGUAAAGGGUGCGUAGGUGGUUUCUUAAGUCAGAGGUGAAAGGCUACGGCUCAACCGUAGUAAGCCUUUGAAACUGGGAAACUUGAGUGCAGGAGAGGAGAGUGGAAUUCCUAGUGUAGCGGUGAAAUGCGUAGAUAUUAGGAGGAACACCAGUUGCGAAAGCGGCUCUCUGGACUGUAACUGCCACUGAGGCACGAAAGCGUGGGGAGCAAACAGGAUUAGAUACCCUGGUAGUCCACGCCGUAAACGAUGAGUACUAGCUGUCGGAGGUUACCCCCUUCGGUGGCGCAGCUAACGCAUUAAGUACUCCGCCUGGGAAGUACGCUCGCAUGAGUGAAACUCAAAGGAAUUGACGG